AGUUUUCCCACACUGUGUAAAAUGACAAAGAGCACUCUGAUUGGUUGGCUUGGAAUCUAACCAAUCAGAGUGCUCUGUGUCAUUUCACACAGCGUGAGAAAGUU